GAGGCGGCUCAGUGAGCUCCUGGGGACUCUGAGUGAGGAUGUCCUGCUGAAGAUGGUGGAAGUCUGAGUUUGCAGUAGCUGCCGUGGGGGCAGGAGCCCAAGGUGAUCUGGGGAUACAUGCCCACCGGAUGGGUGCUGCUUAGAGCUUGCUAAAAUUAUGGAAAGAGCAAGCGGACAGACUUUCCCUGCACAGCUGCUCCAGCUGAAGUGCACACACAGGACACUGGACCUGGCCUACAGGCAGCUUCUGACUCAGGAGGAAGAGAGGUGCCUCCAUCUGCCUUCCCGUCCGCGGGCCGUGUGUGCCUCCGUCCUGCCCAAGCCGAGCAGCAGUCUUCCUGUUCCAGGCAGCGUACUUGCCCAGGACUCACUCAUGCUGUCCUGUUGGAUGGGAGGGGACGUGAGACCUGCUGCUUGGUCACUGAGCCCACAGGCUAAGAGGAAACAGAUGCCUGCCCCAGCAACCUCUUGGCAUCUGGCUCCCUGUCCCUGCUCCGGGGCACCGGGACCCACUGCUGUGCCCGGAAGACCUGAAUAUGUCCCAGGACAGGAAGGCCACCAUGUGUCCUAUGCCUCCCAGCUCCUUCCCCUGGGACCCUCCCAAGGCAGAGAGCAGAGAAGGGACUCCCACUGUGACGGGGCAUCUUUGGGACUGCAUGACUGCUUUAGAAACAUCUGGAGUGAUGGACGUUUCAGGCCAUGCGUCUGCACAGGGGGCACGGGGAAGACGCUGACCAGGAGCUGUCCUCUACUCCCCCUCUGGCCUCCUGCACAUCGGAGCUGAGAAGACCCACCUCACCCUGCUGGGAACCUCGUGACGCCCACCGCCUGUGAAGCCCAUUCCACGCACCCAGACUUGGGCUCUGCACCGGGAACCUGCUGUCCUCUGCACUAUGAACACUCACCCACUGUCUCUGACUGAAAUCCUUUCUCACCUGGGGAUGCCCCGUCCACGGGCCAUGUUCCAAGAGCCUUCCUGAUUCUGGCUGCCAGGUCUUAAGGAAGGAGGCCUGUCACCUCUGCACCCACCCAUCUGAACAUGGAGGUCAUGGCUAUGUUCCUUCCCCACCCUGUCAGUGCCACGGUCUUCACCGCAUGCUCCUACAUGCUGAGCAGCAGAGCUGCAUGUCUUCACCUUUAAUGAGGAAACACGUGUUCUGCAGAUGAAGGAACGGGGAGGCCACAGCACGGUGGAGCGGGGAGGCCGCCCUCCACAUUCCAACCCCAGGAAAAAGUAACCUGGAGGCAGAAAAAGCCAAAUUGAAGAAUGGACAGUUAUCCACCGAACAUUCUCGAAGGGGAACUGGGUUAUACUGUUUUGAAUUUGAGGUCAAUCUAUUGAAAUUGUUUUUUAAUUCAAAUGAUGGCUUUGUCACCAAUAGCUUAAAAGGCAAACAACGAGCUUGAACACCACACACACACUCCUGAAGUCUAGUCUGUUCUCUGAAAUUGAUGUUUGCCAAUAAACAGGCGCCAUCAGGAAAAAUAGAGGUUUUCCAGAUUGAAAGCUCCCUCCCUCUCCCACAGCCCACUUGCAUACCCCCCUGAAGACAGAGGCCGGGAAGUGAGGCUGGCUCUCUGUGGUGCCAGCCACUCUCUGCAGCACUGGAGCCCUGUGGGGUAAUGACAGGAGGCCUGAGAGAUGCACCCUGCCACAGACACGGGGAUAAGGGCUGUGUCCACAGAAAUUCACUCUCAUGUUCUCUAACUAAGACGCGGGGGGUGUCCAUGGCUGGGCUAACAACUCCACACAAAUGCGAAGGAACCUGACAGGCAGGUGCCCUCAGGAAGCACAUGCAGGGGGCUCUGGCAAAGCAGCCCUUCCUCCACUCACCACCCACCCCAGCUGGGGGGAGAAGAACCUCCCCAUCCAAGGCCCACCCUGACCUGGGAAGAGCAGCCCAACCCCUGUCCACCAUUAACCCUGACCUGGGAGAAUCAGCCCCUCUGCCAUCCACCUUCACUCUGACUUCCAUGUCCAUCAUUAACCCUGGCCUGGGAGAAACAGCACUUCCCCCACUUACCAUCUACCCUAGCCUAGGAGAAGCAGCAGCUCCCCGUACACCAUCCACCCUUACAGCCUUACCUGGGAGAAGUGGAGCCCACCCAUUCACCAUCCACCCUUACCUGGGACAAGUGGAGCCCACCCAUCAACCAUCCACCCUUACCUAGGAGAAGUGGCCCCUCCCCAUCCACCAUCCACCCUUACCUGGGAGAAGUGGCUCCUCCCCCCUCCACCAUCCACCCUUACCUGAGAGAAGUGAACCCCCCCAUCCACCAUCCACCCUUACCUGGGAG
rnacentral:lncRNA from 1 species